GUUGCAUCCUUCUCUGGAAUCUGUGGAAAACACUCAACCUAGUGGGACAGCUCUACUGAAGAGGCAGCACUCUUUAGCAUCAAUAUGCUGCUGUGAUGUCAGUGUUGGCAUACUUCAUGUAACACACAGACCAUUACUAAAAGGAAAAGACAGAAACAAUGCUAGACUGCUAAGAAGAGAAGAUGGCAAGAUGUCCUUGAAAUAUACACAGAAAUCCUGUGCUGACUGACUAAACUAACCCCAAGGAACUGCAUCCUUCUUGAGAAGCCACAAGUUGCUCAGCUACUCAAGAAUUUCCCAACAUUUUAUGGAACAAGAAGGUACAUUA